rnacentral:rRNA from 1 species
GACGAACGCUGGCGGCGUGCUUAACACAUGCAAGUCGAACGGAAAGGCCCCCAUCUUGUUGGGUGUUCUCGUGGGGCGAACGUGUGAGUAACACGUGUGUGAUCUGCCCUGUACUUCGGUAUAUUCUUGGGAAUCUGGGUCUAAUACCGUAGAGGACCAUGGUGUAGUGUCUCGUGUGGUAAAGUUUAUUGGUUUGGUGCAGGAUUGGCGCUCGGCCUAUCAGCUUUUGGGUGGUGUAAUGGCCUCGCUAGGCGGCGUCGGGGAGCCGGGUUGAGGGGGGGGACGGGCACAUUGGGACGGAGAUAUGGCCAAGGCUCCUACGGGAGGAAGCAGUGGGGAAGCAUGAACAAUGGGGGUAAGACUGAUGGCGCGACGCUGAGUGGGGGAUGACGGCUUUCGGGUUGUAACCUUCUUUCGUUAGGGACGAAGCGACGCUUAUGGGGUGUGGUGAAGGUAAAUGUGUUAAGAAGCACCGGCUAACUACGUG